rnacentral:rRNA from 1 species
UACGAAGGGGGCUAGCGUUGUUCGGAAUCACUGGGCGUAAAGGGCGCGUAGGCGGCUUUAUAAGUCGGGGGUGAAAGCCUGUGGCUCAACCACAGAAUUGCCUUCGAUACUGAGAGUCUUGAGUCCGGGAGAGGUGAGUGGAACUGCGAGUGUAGAGGUGAAAUUCGUAGAUAUUCGCAAGAACACCAGUGGCGAAGGCGGCUCACUGGCCCGGUACUGACGCUGAGGUGCGAAAGCGUGGGGAGCAAACAGG